rnacentral:tRNA from 1 species
GCUGCGGUAGUUUUUAAUAAAACAUUAGCCUGUGAAGCUAAAAAUGAAGUCAUACCACCCUCCCCCACAGCC